UGAGAGCUCAUUAAACGCGAUGAUUUCGUCACUGACAAGGUUUCAGGAAAUGCGGCUGGCAAAAGGGGAAGGGAUCGGCUCCAGUCUGUCAUGCGGAGUAAUGGCACGUCAGAAAGCUGAGAGGAAACUCCUAAUGGACUACGCUUCAAUAUUUAAUGUCUUAUUUCUGGCUCUUUCUGUUUUCUGCUAAAGGCAGGUACGAAAGGACGCUCCAUAUUUCACAGCAAUAAGAGUUAUUAUAAUGGUGAGCGGAACAGUAGCUCAAUGGGAGUGUGUUUGGGGGCAGAGUUAUGGUGAUUUACGGCUGCUUGCCGCGGUUGUGUGCCACUUUGUGCGUGUGUCUGCCCUCGAAAUUCUCACUGGAAAUAAUGAGAGCGGGUUAUUAGUAUGCGUAAUUGGUGGUACAUGUCAUCCACGGGGUUGCAGUGUGAGAGCCAACAUGAGGACUGCUGAGGAGGAGGCUGUGCGGGGACGAGUUGCCAGCACAUGGAUCAUGAAGUAUUUCUUGGUGGAAAGAAAAACAACAAGACAAAAAUAGUAAGUUUGUGUAUAAAUGGAUUUGUAUUUAUAUAGCGCUUUUCUAGUCUUGAUGAGCACUCAAAGCACUUUACACUACAGCUUUACAUUCACCCAUUCACACACACAUUCAUACAGUGCAUCUAAUCGCAACACUUUGUUAUUCUAUGGGGGGGCCAUUCAGGGUUCAGCAUCUUGCCCAAGGACACUUCGGCAUGCAGAUGGGUCAGACUGGGGAUCGAACCGCCGACCUUCAGGUUGAAGGAGGACGACCACUCUAUCCCCUCAGCCACAUCCAACCAUAUAUAUAUAAGAUAUAAGAUACAUGAAAGUACACAGCCUUGUCCACUCUCCCACUAUAUUCCCCUUUUGUCAGCACUUUCAAGUUCUCCAGGCUUUGCACUCAUGAUCCAGAUGGGACUGGGAAUAAAACAGUAUCGACUGUAUCAAGCCUCAUUAUUUACUGUGGAAGUCGUACAGUUCGAUUUAUGUGAAACAGUUGAGACUCUUUUCACUUGUUCACUUCUUCUGUCGACUUAUUGCUUUAUCUUGAAACAAGUGGAGCAAUUUGCCACAUAUUAUUAAGCCCCGUGUGAGACAAUAGUGGAGAGAAUUGAAAUUAUUUCACCCCACAGUCAGGAUUUUAACAAAGUAAAUAGGAUUAAGCGUCUUGCUCAAAUUGACAUUAGUUGGCUCUGAGGGUUUGGAAGGGAGAGCAGUUAAGUGAAGAGAGCAGGGGAGGAUAUCCUCCCAGUGCUUUGUGACCUUUGACCAGGGAUAUCCUACUUAAGAUAUCAGCUAAACACUGCCAAGGCCACGGCCAUUCCCCUGCUGCUGCGCUGUGCCAAGGCCACACUGUGCCUGCAAAAUUAGUCAGAGCCUUCAAUGGGCACAUACAUGGAAAGUUUACACUCAGACACCACAUCUUCCUGUGGAGAUGACCCAACACCGCAUGACCACUAUCAUCAGUGCACCAUCUUCUUUUGAGCCGCGACAAUGGCAGUUACCCAACUGGGAAAUGGACUCAAGUCUUGAAAGAGGUCAGUGCCCGAAACUAAAGUCUGAUGAAAAAAGCCCUGCUCCAUCAGUGGUGCCUUUACAGGAUCGCAUCUCAAGAUCAGUCACACAUGUUCUUCGUUCAGUACCUGCUUACAAAAACAGCUAUGGUCAGAGAUCCUGUUUUCACCUACACACUAAAACCUGUGACACUUUACACAUUUCAAGAAGGCUUUUAAAUACAUUAUGUUGGACAGUUACCCCUGAAACCACUCAUUAUUUCAUACGGUUUAAGUCCUUUACACGUAGCUGUCUGUAUUUUCCUUGUCUCUAUUGAUGUCUCUGUCUUGAUUUUGUUUUGUUUUUGUAUUUUGAUAGAAUGUUUGUCUUUUUUUGUGCUGCAGAACAGAAACCUGCUGUAAACCAGUUGUAACUGAGUCCUGUUUAAUUGCAAUGUUCAUUUUAAAACUCUCCUGUAUAAUAAAUCAAAGGAAUAAAACUA